AUUGAACGCUGGCGGCGUGCCUAACACAUGCAAGUCGAGCGGCAGCGCGGGAGCAAUCCUGGCGGCGAGCGGCGGACGGGUGAGUAAUGCUUGGGAAUCUGCCUGUUAGUGGGGGACAACCCGGGAAACGUCGGCUAAUACCGCAUACGCACUACGGUGGAAAGCCGGGGACCGGCAAGGCCUGGCGCUAACAGAUGAGCCCAAGUCGGAUUAGCUAGUUGGUAGGGAACGGCCUACCAAGGCGACGAUCCGUAACUGGUCUGAGAGGACGACCAGUCACACCGGAACUGAGACACGGUCCGGACUCCUACGGGAGGCAGCAGUGGGGAAUAUUGGACAAUGGGGGAACCCUGAUCCAGCGACGCCGCGUGGGUGAAGAAGGCCUGCGGGUUGUAAAGCCCUUUCAGUGGGGAAGAAAAGCCUCGAGCUAACACCUCGGGGUCUUGACGUAACCCAUAGAAGAAGCACCGG
rnacentral:rRNA from 1 species